rnacentral:lncRNA from 1 species
AGCAAUUGCCACAUGAGCAUGGCCAGCCUUACCCUUGAGACCACUUUCCACAUUUUGCAGCUCAUUCAUCAACUCAGCUAAUGGCAUAUUCAUUUUGUGCAAGUGAUAGUCCACAGUAAACUGUGAAAUCAUAUCAGAUAAAGAAUUCAACCCCAUAUCAACUUGAGUUUCUUGAUCAAUAGUUGUACCCAGAUUCUCCGCCACGUUGAAGUAUAAAAUCAUAGUCAACAUAUGAUCCUUUAGAGGCAUUCCGGGUUUCAUGCUGAUGUUCUGUAAGGUACGAAUGGCCUCAAAGCGAGCCCUCCUACUUUGAUGUCCAAACAUGCCCUUCAGGUAGGGAUGUCAAAAAGGCUCAUCGGCUCGGGUGGCUCGACUCGAGAAAAGCCCGAGCCGGCCCAACUCGUGGCUUGAAGAAAUCAAGCAAAGGCUCAGGCCGAGCCCCAUUUUGGGGCAUCAGCUCGAGCUUGGGCCAGCCCGUGAAAAUAUAAAAAAAUUACGUAUAGACUAACUAAGGCCAUAAAAUAAAAAAAUUAUUUAUUAAAAAAAUGUGUAGCUGCCUUGAAACAGGCAGCUAUAUAAACUGCCUGUUAGGGCAACGAAUAUACAAGUAGUUAGCGUCCAAAUUUUUGAAUAAAUGCGAAAUUUAAAUUUGGUUAAGUUAAAAUUUUUUUUCUUUUGCUAAAAAAUAGGGACAAAAUUUUGAAUUUUCUAUCAAUUUGCUUUAAUUGUUUUCAACUUGAAAUAUUGUAGUUUCAACUUCAAUUUCUU